rnacentral:lncRNA from 1 species
UGGCAACGGAUCGGGUAGGGGCCGGGUAUGACAAUACCAUCUCCAUCCCCGCUCUCCAUCCCCGAACCCAUCCCCGUUUAUUAGGUUUCGGGAAAUCUCCGUCCCCGUCCCCGUCGGGGGACUAUCCCCCAUAUCCGCCCUGAAUCCCCAAUUUGUUUGCAUAAAAAAAUAUUUAUCAUACAUUUUAACAUUAAGUUUCAUAUUACAUUAUCAUUCAACACAUUCAAAUUAACUAUAAAGUUCAACUCAACUAUUCAAAAUCACAUCAAUAUGAAAUUCCAUAGAAAAUUAGGAAAAAUUAAGAGAGGGAAGUUAACUUAGGGUUAAACAUAAAUAUUAUAAUUAUAUAUUUAUUUAUUUAAAUAUAAACAUAUAUAUAUUCGGGUCAGGUUCAGGGAUGGGAACGCCAAUUCCAUCCCCUCCCCAUACCCGUCCGGGAUUUUUCAAGUUCGGGGAUCCUCGUACCCGAUACCCAUUUAGCCCCGAAAUCUCUCCCCGUUAAGGUCGGGGACCCGACAGGGACCCGCCCCUACAGGGAUUUUUGCCAUCCCUAGCUGGAAACCAAUUUAAGUUUCAAUUUAAAAUUUUAAAAAUAUUUUAUGCACCCAUUUUCUCCUCUCAUUUUUUCAUCUUCAAUUUAAAUAUAUUAGGUAAAAAAAACAAAAAAAAGGGAGAAAUCAAUAGGUGAUGAAGGAGUGAUUGAAGAAAGAGAGCAAUAGAGUUGCAUAAUUUUUAUGAACUGAGAAAUAGGAAUGGAGGAGAAGGAUGGAUGCUAGAGAGAGAAGAGGAAGAAAAUGGGUGCAUAAAUUAAAACAAAUUCAAAAAUAUCAUUUUAACCCUGCAUUUAAUAAAAAAGAUAACAAAAUUGAUAGAAAGACCAUUUGUCUUAACAAAAGUGAAGUUGAAGGACUACGGGAAUGAUUUUGGAAAUUGAGGGACCAAAAUGCGAAUUGGGUCAAAAUUCAUGGACCAUUAGACCUAAAAACCCUAUAUAUAUAUAGUUGUUUGAAUCAUUUUUAGAGGUCCUAAAAACCUUAUUUAUUGAACAAGAUCCCGUAGUGGCUUGUGCACAUGUGCCUAAUAUGUACCUCACGGUAGACUCUACCCGGUUGAGUGAUGCUUUUCGGAUUUUUUCAACCAUUUGAAGUACAUACACUGACAGAUCCUUACUUGGGCCUGUAGUAGAGGAUACCAAGAACUUGUUGAUGCAGAUAAGUGGAGAUGGUUUUACCCACAUCCAUCACAUUGCCAACUCUGUCGCUUACCGUAUAACGCGUUUUGCUCUUCAUAUUGGGACCUAAUUAGGAGCCCCUGGAUUUUAUUUCAAAUGUAUUGUUUGAGGAUUGUAACUUAUAGAUUUUAAGGGUAUGUUCCUAUGGGGACAUGGGAUGCUCUAUUGGAGGCCAGGUUCCUUCUCCCAUAUUCAAUUGAGAGGUAAGCUACGUAGUAGCCAACGACCAAAAACGACUAGUAGUCAGGUACUCUUCUAAUCCUCUAAGACUUAGCCCUGUUUUUGUACUUGUUUCAUUCCUCAUCAUUAAUAAACUACUAUCGCCUAUGUGCCAAAAAAAAUAGGUAUAUCAAGGUAUGCACAUGGCACAUGCACAUGCUGUAGUGGCUUCUGCUUUUGUCUUUUAUAAAUCUCAUACAAUUCUUAUUUUCUUCCAAUCUUCUAUAAACCUAGAUCAUGUUUGAUAGGCCUCGAAUAAGCUCCGUUAAACCUUAAUUAAGUUAUUCAAUGGGGUCUAGCUGAGUAGAAAAUAGCCUUGACUUGCAGACCAGAUGUCUCAGGUUCGAAUCAUCAUGGCAUCAUAGUUCUGUGUGUGUGAAAAAUCCCCCUCCCCUGUAGUUUAGACUACCGCUUGUACUAAAAAAAAAAAUUUC